AUCCUGGCUAGGAAUGAACGCUGGCGGCGUGCCUAAUACAUGCAAGUCGAACGAAGCACCUCGGUGCUAGUGGCGAACGGGUGAGUAACACGUGGGUAACCUGCCCUCAAGACGAGGAUAACCGUUGGAAACGAUGGCUAAGACUGGACAGGAAUACGGGAGGCAUCUUCUGUAUUUUAAAAGACCUGGCAACAGGUAUGCUUGAGGAGGGGCCUGCGGCGCAUUAGUUAGUUGGUGAGGUGAUGGCUCACCAAGACGAUGAUGCGUAGCCGGACUGAGAGGUUGAACGGCCACAUUGGGACUGAGAGACGGCCCAAACUCCUACGGGAGGCAGCAGUAGGGAAUUUUCGGCAAUGGGGGAAACCCUGACCGAGCCAACGCCGCGUGAACGACGAAGUACUUCGGUAUGUAAAGUUCUUUUAAGAGGGAAGAAUGGCCCGUGGAAAAGCGGGCGUGACGGUACCUUUUGAAUAAGCCCCGGCUAACUAUGUGCCAGCAGCCGC
rnacentral:rRNA from 1 species